GACGAACGCUGGCGGCGCGCUUAACACAUGCAAGUCGAGCGAUGAAACUUUAACAGAACCCUUCGGGGCGGAGAUAAAGUGGAUUAGCGGCGGACGGGUGAGUAACCCGUGAGUAACCUUCCUUAGACAUUGGGAUAGCCUCGGGAAACCGGGAUUAAUACCAACUAAAAUCAUAAUGACACAUGUCAUAACGAUCAAAACUCCGGUGGUCUAAGAUGGACUCGCGUCCCAUUAGCUAGUUGGUAGAGUAAAAGCCUACCAAGGCGACGAUGGGUAGCCGGCCUGAGAGGGGGAACGGCCACAUUGGAACUGAGAAACGGUCCAAACUCCGACGGGAGGCAGCAGUGGGGAAUAUUGCACAAUGGAGGGAACUCUGAUGCAGCGACGCCGCGUGAACGAAGAAGGCGUUCGAGUCGUAAAGUUCUUUUAUAUGGGAAGAUAAUGACGGUACCAGAAGAAAAAGCCCCGGCUAACUACGUG
rnacentral:rRNA from 1 species